UACGUAGGUGGCAAGCGUUGUCCGGAUUUAUUGGGUUAAAGGGUGCGUAGGCGGUCUAUUUAAGUCAGUGCUGAAAUAAUCCCGGCUUAACCGGGAGGGUGGCAUUGAUACUGAUGGACUUGAGUGCAGUCGGAGGUAGGCGGAAUUGACGGUGUAGCGGUGAAAUGCUUAGAAUAUCGUCAAGAACACCGAUAGUGAAGACAGCUUACUAAACUUUAACUGACGCUGAGGCACGAAAAGUGUGGGGAGUCAAACAGG
rnacentral:rRNA from 1 species